AGGGUUCGAGUGGGGUUCGAUUUGGGGGUUUUUGUUCUGCUGAAAAUGGGGAUUGGGUUCUCACCAAUUCGAUUGGGGUUUUUUCCUGGCUUGCUCUCUGACCCGGACACAACGCGACCCGGUCAGCGACCGACCAGAACUUCCACAUCCGGCCACCGAUAGACGACGGACGACCACCAUCUUCUUCGUCUUGCCGUCGCCAACAGCCUCCUAUCCUUGGAUUGUCCAUGCACUGAACGGAGAAGGAAACCCGACGACGAGAAGCCCGAACAUUCACCGGCAACCUCUGCAAUUUCCGGAGACCGAUUAAGCUUCAUCUGCUCGGGUUCGACGCAGUUGCUACGCCGGCGACUUCUCCGACGCGUCUGGGCUUGGUUUCUGGUUCGACUGCUUCCCUGGAUGAGGCCUGACCUUGAGUGGGAGUUAAACUUCGAAGAUUUCUGGGUUGUAGCACGAGGCAUCAUCAACUCAUCACCAACCCAGUCUCGGCAGCAAGCUUUGGAAAACGAAGUUUCUGUUACAAUACCAGAAACUAGCAAAGGUAAACCCAGAGAAGCAAGCCUGAAAUUGUCGAUUUGAUUUCGUGUGCAGAAUGGGUUGUUUGUGUCUUAGCAUGAAUUGAUUGAAUCGUGGUGUUGGGAGUGAAAUUCAAGUUUGAAUGCGUGUCUGUGCCUUGGUUGAAAUUGGUCGAGUUGGAUUGAAUAGGUUGUUUGCCUUGAGUUGAAUGACUUGUGAUAAUCAAGUUUGAUGUUUUGAUCCUACUGUUAUGGCUGUUGGUUGUUCGGUGUUUUUGAUGACUUUGGUUCAAGACCGUCCUACCAUGGAAUAUGCUAAGAAGGAUUUGCAUACAUAUGCACUUUCAGUUGCAUUACCAUGAAUGAUAUAACUGUCUUUCGCAUGCACAUUAGUAGAUAACGGAUUAAUUUUCUUGAUAUCUGACUUACUGCAUUCCUGCAAUCUGUUCCAGUCUAAUUGGAUUCUGUGGUGCUGGUGUUGAUUGAGAAAGCAGCCGAGAAAGCCAUUCUGCAUGGGGCUAUGGCUGGUUGCUUCUUAUGAAUUAGCAAGCCUAAAGCAUUUUUAGUGGAUAAAUAAGUGGAUGGUGCACUUCAGCAACUCAGCUUCGACAUUUUUCGAUAGCUUCUGCAAUGACCAUAAAAUGAUGCUCCUACAAGAUCUACAGAGAUUGGAAGCAGUUUUAUAUGUUUCAAGAGUACAUCAACACAAUUAAUGAUCUGUAAUAGUUACUGCAUCAAUGUUCACGCCUCACAGGUUUAGUUGCCACUGAUUUUGGAGUGAAACCUACUUUUGCUCUUUGGGUUAAACAUAAACUUGCACAACCUACAAUCUUGCACAACCUGAUCUCAAGAGGUAGCUGUCUUGGAACAAGCUGUUUACGUCUACACCACUGAGUUUGAAAGGUUUAUUAGGUUUAUCAGUGAGGUUUUUGCGAAUUCGCCCUUCUUAAUUUCAGCAGAGGUUGCCGGUGCAUUAGAUGGAGGGAAUAAUGAUGAUUACAAAGAGACAACUGUUCCUGCCGGUAAAACACAUGAGGUUUCUCUGUCUGUGGACUCGAUAAAUUCGUAUAUUGCUUGGGAUUUUUCGCUUGUGCAAGGGAAGAUAAACUUGGUAUCGUUCCUAAAUUUCAUUUCAUUACUCGGUGAAUGUGUCUUCUUCUUUCAUAGCCUGACGAAGUAUUCUUUCAUCUGUGAUGUGAAUGCUCUGGCCUUCUUCGUUUCCUGUAGUUCUCCGUUGUGUAACUCGUGCUAUUUUCUUGUAUGCCUGUUUGGUUGGAAUGAGAUUGGUAAUGAGUCCAAUAAAAGUUAUUGAUGAAAUGGCAAAUUUUAAACUGUAUGAAGAUUGUGUGAGGAUGUUGGGUUGGAAUAUUCACUUUCUGGUCAUUGUUCGACCCAAGGUUGCCAUUCUGAGUACUAUGAGGUUGAAUAUAGGAAAAAAGUGCUCGCUUUUCAGAUUCUCCAGGAAAUUUGGCUGCGUGGUUGUAUAAUGAUAUCCUUGUGAAGAUUAUCUUUUUAUUCAUCUCUUUAUUCUGACAGGAUCACCCUUGUUUUGAACAGAUGCCUUUUAGUUAUUUUCUGAGAUAA